rnacentral:rRNA from 1 species
AUGGGCGAAAGCCUGAUGGAGCAAUGCCGCGUGAAUGAAGAAGGUCUUCGGAUCGUAAAGUUCUGUUAUUAGAGAAGAAUAAAUCAAGGAGUAACUAUCUUGAUUUUGACGGUACCUAACCAGAAAGUCACGGCUAACUACGUGCCAGCAGCCGCGGUAAUACGUAGGUGACGAGCGUUGUCCGGAAUUAUUGGGCGUAAAGGGAGCGCAGGCGGUUGGAACAGUCUGAUGUGAAAGCCCACGGCUUAACCGUGGAAGGUCAUUGGAAACUGUCCAACUUGAAUACAGAAGAGGUAAGUGGAAUUCCAUGUGUAGCGGUGAAAUGCGUAGAUAUAUGGAGGAACACCAGUGGCGAAGGCGACUUACUGGUCUGUGAUUGACGCUGAGGCUCGAAAGCGUGGGUAGCAAACAGGAUUAGAUACCCUGGUAGUCCACGCUGUAAACGAUGAGUGCUAGGUGUUGGAGGGUUUCCGCCCUUCGGUGCCGGAGCUAACGUAUUAAGCACUCCGCCUGGGGAGUACGGCCGCAAGGCUUAAACUCAAAGGAAUUGACGGGGACCCGCACAAGCGGUGGAGCAUGUGGUUUAAUUCGAAGCAACGCGAAGAACCUUACCAGCUCUUGACGAGUUUCCCCUUCGGGGGCAGUUAGACAGGUGGUGCAUGGUUGUCGUCAGCUCGUGUCGUGAGAUGUUGGGUUAAGUCCCAUAACGAGCGCAACCCUUAUUGUUAGUUGCCAACAUUCAGUUGGGCACUCUAACGAGACUGCCGGUGAUAAACCGGAGGAAGGUGGGGACGACGUCAAAUCAUCAUGCCCCUUAUGAGCUGGGCUACACACGUGCUACAAUGGACGGCACAACGAGUUGCGAGGGCGCGAGCCUUAGCGAAUCUUUCAAAGCCGUUCUCAGUCCGGAUUGUUCUCUGCAACUCGAGAGCAUGAAGACGGAAUCGCUAGUAAUCGCGGAUCAGAAUGUCGCGGUGAAUACGUUCCCGGGUCUUGUACACACCGCCCGUCACACCACGAGAGUUCGUAACACCCGAAGCCGGUGGAGCAACCUUUAAUUAGGAGCUAACCGUCGAAGGUGGGAUGGAUGAUUGGGGUGAAGUCGUAACAAGGUAGCCGUAUCGGAAGGUGCGGCUG